CUCUUCUCCUUGAAGCAGUAGCUUGUCUCUUCUCCGUCCCAGAUGGACCGGGGCAGGGGGAACUUUCUCCGGACACGGUACUUCCCCACGGCGCCGAGCGGGCGGCCUCUCAGCUUCUCCGCCUCAAUGUAGUGCGCUUUGAGCCACAGCUGCUGGAGCUUCGGGUGGUUGUGCGGCGAAAACUGGUGGCUCUCCAGGAUCUUGUAGAGCUCUCGGAAGUUUCCCCGGUGGAAGGCGACCACGGCUUUCGCUUUGAGGACGCUCUCAUUUUUGUGGAGGUGUUCGCACGCCGGGAGGGACCAGAGGAAGCGCCCCAGCCGCUCGAUGUUCCCCCCUUGUUGGAGGACUUCGCAGACACACGCCACUUGUUCCUGCGUAAAACCAAACGUCGGAAGCAUGGACAUGGCGACAACGCACCUCGGGCAGCCAAAGAGCGCAGAGCUGGGGGUAGUGUGGAAAAGGAGAGCAGAGCUGGUCCCACAGCUGGGGGAAGGAUGGCGCCAGAGCGCACGGAGAUUGCUGAAGUAUCUUCAUGCCUCUAGCGGCUCUCACAAAUCACUCAAGAUUUCCACAACGCCUGGAACUUUAAAUUUCUUGAACGGAGAGCAAAGGAGGACAGUCUGUCGGCCCAACCCGAAACAGCGGAGCAGAAAAACGGCAUCAAGCUACACACGGUGUCACGUCUCAUUUUGGAACGAUGCUCUUCAAAUACUUCAUCACCGGCCCUCUUAGUUUCACUGCAGACGCUGGCUGACCUCAUUGAGUGACCUCACCAAUCACAGAUCAAAGUUGUCGAGUUUCUGGACGGUCAAGUUAAUCAGAGGACCACCCUGAAGAGCCAAUCAGUUUUCCUAGACACCUGUGCAGGUCUAGUGUUUCAGCCGAGUCCCUGAAAAAUAAAUGUGGAGCUCCAAUCUCUUAAUCCACUCGGCUCCACGCAGCCACGUCACAUGACACCACCACGGCCGUCCUGAUGCCCAGACAACAUCGGAGGGAGAGAUUGUUUUGUCUGUGUGUGAGUCUUUAAAGGAGAGAGGAGAGAGAGCCAAUGAAAGAGAAGGCAUCAAGAAAGUAUGGGAGCGCCAGCGUAAACUGGGGUCUGUGUUUGCAUGUUAAUAUAUACCGGUAGUUGUUCUGUCCCGUUUACAUUUGUUUGUUUGAGUGUCUGCAUAUUGUAUACAUUGUAGAAGAGGAACUGAAGUUGGGGAAGGGGGAGGUAGACAAAUCUUUUUUUCAUUCAAAUCAAGGUCCUGUGAUGGGCGUGUGUGUGUGUGUAUGUGUGUGUUUUGGGAUGAUACCCUAUCCACAGCAAUCAGUCUGACCUCCACUCUGGAGUGAACUGCUCUCAAUGAUUAAUGGAUCUGCCUCCGUGCUCAGUCGCCAAGGCAACCCGAAACCCGAUAGCCCUCAGGAAUUCGCUAGCUCGCCCUCAAAGUUAGGCUGUGUGUAUGUGUGCAUGUGUUUGUGUGUGUGUGUGUGUGUGUGUGUUGCUAGGCGGUGGGUGGGAGACGUGAGGUUAAAUGUAACUCUUUGGAAAGAUGGAGUUAGUUGUAAAGGUGGAAGAGGAGGAGAGAGAGAGGUCCGAUUAAGUCAAUACAACAGUGUGAAGACAGUUCUACAUUAUUCAGUCCUUCAUUGUUUCUUUAAAUUUAUCAUGGAUUUUAAUGUUCUGUCAUUUCAGUCUAAACAUGUGUUUCCAGCACCCUUUGUCUUAUCGUGUUAGGCCAAUGGCAUCAUGUAUAGUAGCAUGUAAAAUCACACCAUCGUCUCAGGCAGCCUCCUAAAGUGACAUGUGGUUUUAAUUACCAUUAUUCGCUGGUUAUUGCUCUAUAUUUUGCGUCAACUAGUAAUUUAUACAACCAAGCCCAAGUCAAAAUUAAGCAUUGGGCGGGCCCUCGCACGUAUGGCACGUCGAGGUGUGAGGCAGCCGCGUUUCAG